AUGCCUCCCGGUUCCGGGCUCCUGCUGCUUCCUGCCAAGAACACAGGCGCUCACACUUAACAUGGUAUCUAGUCUGCUACGCAAGGACCGUGACGCCAUAGCUGUCACGUCCUUGUCGGUGUGUGCACCUGACCUAGAGCAUACUUACCUGUAGGAGUACAACCAGUGGAAUUGUGAGAUAUCCCAGCAGGCUGGGCCAGCACUGGCUGCCUUCAGUGUGGCGGCCAAGGUCCGAGGUGGGGCUUAGGCUUCAGUGCGAGACAAGAUCCAAUGGAUGGACGUGCACAGGGGACACGCCCUGGGAGCAGAGCUGGGCCUGUGGGGUCCACACAGUCCCCGCAGCAUCUGAAACUGGCUGUAUUGCUCUUCCAGGGCUGCUGUAACGAAGUACCAGACUGGGGGUCAACAGUUCUGGAGAUCAAGAUCAAGGUGCUGGCAGGGCUGUUUCCUUCCCAGGGAGAAUCUGCUCCAGGCCCAUCUCCUGGCUUCUGGUGGCAAGUCCUUGAUGUUCGCUGGCCUGUAGACGUAUCACCCAUCUCCACCUUCGUGUUCACAUGGUGCUGUCCCUGAGUAGGUGUCUAUGUCCAAAUUUCCCCUUUUGAUGAGAUCAGCCAUUGGAUUAGGGCCCACUCUACUCUAGUGUGACCUCAUCUUAAGCAGUUAUAUCUGCAACAACUCCACUUCCAAAUAAGGUCACACACUGGGGUAUUGGGGGUUAACACUUCAAAACAUGAAUAUUGGAGGGUGCGGUUCAGCCCCUAACAUUGGCAAGAUCCUCCGGGCAGUCACUGAAGGCCUGGAUGCUGACAGAACCACGGUUAGUCCAGCGCUCUGUAGGGGGCAGGGUCUUGGGCACCAGAAGUCCUUGUAUCACCAGGCUGAUCUUGAUCCAACAAAAUCAAAUCAACAAAUGCAUCAGCACCCUAGGUGCAAAGCCUUGGGCCAAAUGCUGCAGAGGCUAGGCUACUGCCCACGGUGGGCUCCCUGCCCUGACAGGCUUUCUGUGCCUGCCUUGUUGCCACUAAUGUUCCAUGGGAAACUCCACCCGACUCAGGCCCUGCAGGGGCCCUGAAGGAGGAGUGGUUCCCAGUGCUCCUGCAUUUUGGGCUCAGAGUAUGGUGCUGGGUGGUCCUAACUCCUGGUCACUUGGGAGGAACUGGGUACAGUUUCUUCCGGCUUGUUUACACGAAGCCCAGAGACAAAGUCCUAUGCUGUACACAGAGACAGAACUUUUCCUUUGAUGUGAAGAUUGCCUUUUCUGAUGUUGUGGAAAGUUCUUUCUGCCUGCCCUGCUCAGAGGAUCAAAUGAAAGAACUCCGAUGAAGCUGCCACUAACAGCAUGGUGUUUCCCACCAGUGACAGGCCUCAGGCCAGGCGGGGCAAACCGUCAGGGUGGGUCUAUUGGUGACCCCAAGGGUGACCCUCCCGCUCUAUCCUGCUAGAGGCAAGCUGAGAGAGCUCAGGAUCUGGGUUUGGGGUUUCUGUUUGGAUGUUUGGAUCAAAGAAGGGACAGAUGCCUGAAAGUCAUUCUGUUCAGGACAUGGGCAAGCACAUCCUCAAGGCCAUGGACACGGCCUGCAGCAACUCACUCAGAAGCCUUUCGGCAGAAGCCAGCCGUGAGCCGUCUAACCUGCUCUUCACACAACCACACCAGCACCAAACCUGUAUUUACACGGCUUUGCCCCUGAGCCUCUGCCCGUGUGAACUUGUCAAGUGACCUGGUUUGCACAAUUUUAAGGUUCUGCCUUCUGGAGAACUAAAGCAAGUGAAACAUUCAGGGCAAAACUCUUACUUUGAAAAGUCCGAGGAAACUCAACUAGCAAAGCUUUGCAUCCAGCAGAAAACAAGCCAGGGUCCUGGAGGGGAGUCUGUGCAGGGCCCACUCAGCUGCCUCCUGGCAGGUGCAGAAGCCAGACCUCGAGGGUCCAGUACACAGGCCCAGCAGUUGCUUUUUAGUUCCAGGCCAAUAGCUUCCUACCAGCUGGACAGAGGAAGAGAGAGACUGGGACACCCCAGGCUGUUAAGCCUUGACUGCCUACCCCAUAACCUGCAAAGUUACUUUGCUAAUCCACCAGCGCUGCCGGGUUUGGGACUCCAACCACCACGUCCGAGCAAACCCAGCCCCAGGAAUGUGCUAAUCAGCUGCCUGGGCAAAAGGGGAAAGGUAUCGGUGACUCACUCCCCCUCCCAGGAGCACAUGACGGCCCUGUUCCGGGCAGCGAUACCUGGUCCCAAGCUUUCUAUGCGGAGGGCCAGGCUCCACACAGCUGGUCUGCAGGGUCACCCACGCCUGUCACGGGGCAUAGCCCACCCCUCGCAGCUGUGACUCCUGACAGCCCUGCUCUCAGCGCACCCUGGGUUCCCUCCUCUGGAAACCACACGCAUACCCCUGGGGAACCUGCUCACUUUUAGGAGGGCAGAGCUAACAUCUCCCCAGCGAUCUCCCACAGAACCUCCAAGUGCCCGAGCUCACUCUUUCACGGAUACACGUCUCAUCGUGUCAGCACAGCCGAGGCACAACACACACAGACCCUGGGGCAGCCCUGGCACAGACCUGAGAACCAGGGAAGGGAGUCCGGCCAUGGGCUGAGCUGGGGAGCGGUACCUGGAUGCCAGAGCAUGUGGACAAGCCGGGGCUUGGUUGGUGCUGCCUAGGGCACUAACACCAGGUUCUCCGUGGACACCAGCUGUAUACCACACGCCCAGGUUUGGUGAUGAGCACAGCAUUCUUGAAGUCUGAACGCCCCUGAUUUCUCAUCAGAAGCUGCAGUGGUUUCAGGCAGUGGUGGGGAGGGGCCGCUCCCCACCCUAGGGUUAAGGUUAGAGCCACGCAUCCCUGACCAUCAUGUCCUGACGUGGCACAUGGGCAGAAUCCAUGCUGUGACCACUGGAUGCCCACGGCGGGUAAAGGCGCCGAACUGUAUCACAGGUGAGCCAGCCUGACGGCACAGGAACAGGGCCAAGAGGCACCCCUCACCCCCAGUCAUGACGGUGACAGCUCCGCACAGUGCCCACAGGAUUUGUGCACGCUUCUGCAUCUCUGCUGCGUUCCAAGAAAGAGAUGUCUCAACAAGAGCGGCCCCCACCAAGACCACCUCCUCUCCCGAGAAACUUGGAAUUCCAGCCCCACUCCCCGUGCCUGGAGGUUGUAAGGCAGAGGCAACGACAGGCAGAAAAUUUCAACUUUAUUUGGCCAAUGUGUCCAAUUCCAAUAUUGUGGUAGAAAUGCCUGAAGAACAGUCAACAUGUGAUUCGGCUCAAGCAAGCAUCCUUGGCCGUCUCCCAGCCUGGAAACGGAGGGUCCUGGUUCUGCCUGGUGCAGGCCUCAGGCCACCCUGGAUGUCACAGGGCAACGAGGACCUUGGCUUGGGGAAGGAGGGGACUGCAGCUGCACCCUCCAGUCUUGCGGGGGGGGGGGGGCCCUGUGACAGAAACCUGAAGUCACCACUUAACCAAAUGAUGCAGGAGCCACGCUCCACCAUGGCAACACCGCAUGAGGUGAGGGACCUGUCCAGACCGGCCUGGUCCCGCCCCACACAGGGGACAGGAGUCCCAGGAAGGCCUGGCCAAGGUGGGACAGACACCCUGACGUCCAAAAA